GGUUAACAUUGAAAGGACCAAACAUUUUCAGCAACUUUCCACUUCAUUUUCUAUUUCAAGAAUCAACGUUCAUCCUUGGAAGAGUGCAAAACGUUGCUAUCAAUUCUUAUGAACUUUGAAUAAGAAAAUUGAUAGAAGUUGCUUACGGUUGUAGCUCAUCUGGAGCCCUCAGCUAAGCACCAUUUUUUUUUUUGAAAGAAAGAUUAUAAUUUCCAGCAAGAAUUUUAAGAGGUCAAGCUUGCUAGUAAGGUUUUUCUUCCAGUUGUUGAGGUAGACAGGGAGGUGAGCUUGAUCCAGAUUCUUAGUAGCUGUCAGCUGAUUGAGAGCACUCCAUUGUUCGGAGGUGCUUAUGUUUAUUCUUUUGGUUCCUUCAUGUAUUUCGCGCACGACGGAGUCUUGUUCCGUCUAUAUGUAUAAUAUGUCAGUAGAGGCUCGUAGACGCGCAGUGUGGGUUAGAUUGUCUCACAAGAUUACUAUGUUAUAUUUGUAUAUGUUAUUUUGAUGGCCUAAGGGGCACAUGUAUAUAAAAUCAUUUGUGUUGUCAAAUGAAAAAUGGUUGUCUUAUGAUUA